UCAAGCAAGCAAGGGCGCAAGGGGAAUGCCUUGGCAUCAGGAGCCGAAGAAGGACGUGACAAGCUGCGAUAAGCUACGGGGAGCGGCACAUACGCAUCGAUCCGUAGAUGUACGCGGGGAACCGCCUGAACUGAAACAUCUAAGUAGGGCGAGGAAAAGACAUCAACCGAGAUUCCGCAAGUAGUGGCGAGCGAACGCGGAGGAGGCCAAACCAGAAGAACUUCGGUUUUUCUGGGGUUAGGACAGCGACAAGUGACGAUAGGUUAGGGGAACGGCAUGGGAAGGCCGACCACAGGGGGUGAGAGUCCCGUACCCGAAAACCGACAAUAGCGAGCUGAAUCCAGAGUACCGCCGGACACGUGAAACCCGGUGGGAAGACGGGUGGACCACCAUCCAAGCCUAAAUACUACCUGAUGACCGAUAGAGAAGCAGUACCGUGAGGGAAAGGUGAAAAGAACCCCGGAAGGGGAGUGAAAUAGUACCUGAAACCUUGUGCCUACAAGCAGACAGAGCACGUUAAAGUGUGAUGUCGUACCUUUUGUAGAAUGGUCCGGCGAGUUAUAGUAACUGGCAAGGUUAAGUGAUUAAGUCACGGAGCCGCAGGGAAACCGAGUGUUAAUAGCGCGAAUGAAGUCAGUUGCCAUAGACCUGAAACCGGGUGACCUAUCCAUGAGCAGGUUGAAGUUGGUGUAAAAGCCAAUGGAGGACCGAACCCACGUACGUUGCAAUGUCCGGGGAUGACUUGUGGAUAGCGGAGAAAUUCCAAUCGAACUCGGAGAUAGCUGGUUCUCCCCGAAAUAGCUUUAGGGCUAGCGUUAUAUUAGAUUACCGGAGGUAGAGCACUGAAUGAGCUAGGGGGCGAUGAGCUUACUGAACUCUAUCAAACUCCGAAUGCCGGAUAAUUGAUGUAUAGCAGUCAGACUAUGUGAGAUAAGUUUCAUAGUCGAGAGGGAAACAGCCCAGACCCACAGCUAAGGUCCCCAAUUAAUGCUAAGUGGAAAACGAUGUGAAGUUGCGAAAACAACCAGGAUGUUGGCUUAGAGGCAGCCACUCAUUAAAAGAGUGCGUAACAGCUCACUGGUCGAGUGACUUUGCGCGGAAAAUUCAACGGGGCUAAGCAUUAAACCGAAGCUUGGGAAAUGUCAGUAAUGAUGUUUGGUAGGGGAGCGUAGUGUACGGGGCGAAGCAUGAGCGAGAGCACGUGUGGACUGUACAGUAGUGAGAAUGCCGGAAUGAGUAGCGAGAAUUAUGUGGGAAUCAUAAUGGCCGAAAAUCUAAGGUUUCUUGGGGAAGGUUCGUCCGCCCAAGGUAAGUCGGGAGCUAAGGCGAGGCCGAGAGGCGUAGUCGAUGCACAUACGGUUGAAAUUCCGUAACCACCAAAAGAUUUAAGCAGAGGGACACAUGGAGAUAGCGGAACCCCGGCGUUGGUCGACCGGGGCGUAAGGGACGAAGCAAUAGUAGGAAGUCCGCGAUGCUCCGUGGCGAGAAAAGCUCUGAGGGAUAUCUAAGGUGCCCGUACCGCAAACCGACACAGGUAGAUGAGUAGAGAAUACUAAGGCCAACGGGAGAAGGGUUGUCAAGGAACUCGGCAAAUUGACCCCGUAACUUCGGAAUAAGGGGAGCCUCCCGAGGGAGGCCGCAGAGAAUAGGCACAAGCGACUGUUUACCAAAAACACAGGUCUAUGCUAAAUCGAAAGAUGACGUAUAUGGGCUGACGCCUGCCCGGUGCCGGAAGGUUAAGAGGAGGGGUUAGCCGCAAGGCGAAGCUCUCAAUUGAAGCCCCGGUAAACGGCGGCCGUAACUAUAACGGUCCUAAGGUAGCGAAAUUCCUUGUCAGGUAAGUUCUGACCCGCACGAAUGGCGUAACGA
rnacentral:rRNA from 1 species